rnacentral:rRNA from 1 species
CAGCAGCCGCGGGAAUACGUAGGGUGCGAGCGUUAAUCGGAAUUACUGGGCGUAAAGCGUGCGCAGGCGGUUGUGUAAGACAGGUGUGAAAUCCCCGGGCUUAACCUGGGAACUGCGCUUGUGACUGCACAGCUAGAGUGUGGCAGAGGGGGGUGGAAUUCCACGUGUAGCAGUGAGAUGCGUAGAGAUGUGGAGGAACACCGAUGGCGAAGGCAGCCCCCUGGGCCAAUACUGACGCUCAUGCACGAAAGCGUGGGGAGCAAACAGGAUUAGAUACCCCCGUAGUCCCUGUCUCUUAUAC